UUCACUUGAAUGUUGCCGCUGAGCAACACCCAGUUGCAUUUCCGACAGUUGAUCGCACAGAAGCAGGUCAGAAGACGUAAUGGUUUCGUAUUUGCGUGCUUUCGCUGAGGCAACGUGCGGCACACCAUCGAAAGUGCCAACUCGUUUCUCUAGAGCAAACUGCUUCGUGAAAAGGGCCAAUACUGUCUGUGUUGUGUAUGUAUUGUACAAUAUCAUUUUAUGUCUGUACUCAUAUGCCACUGCCUUCUGGUGCCAUGCAGAAACGUCAGAGGAAAUGGACUUAUUCCUCAGCAAGAGGCCUAGGAAGGCCAUGUACUCCAACGAAGGAAAAGGAAAGAAGAGGACAAAAGGGAAGCCCGCACCAUCGACAAAGCAGCUUCGUCUGGAAACGCAAAGCACCGUUGAGGCGGAGCUUGCAGCUCACAUUGAAGGAGUUGCCACACCUAACUGCACAUGUUGCAGUGACGGCUGUGCAGUGCAUGGCCAACUAGAUGAAGCGAAAAAAGAAAAUGCUCUUCUGAGAGAGGAGCUACUGGCUCAGAAAUAGAGCUUCCUCCAAAAAAUAGAGGAGCUCGAGAAAAAGUUAAAUGACACCCUGCAUCUCAAUGUAGAGCUUCAGAAAGCAUUGACGUCGAAGAUUUUUACAAGUGAGAGCAAGAUCAGUUAUGCCCGGUGUUUGGACGUGGCAGUAGAUGCAGAAGCUCCUGCACAAUCACGGAGCUCUGGUGUUGAAGCAAAA
rnacentral:lncRNA from 1 species